AGCGGACAGAUGGGAGCUUGCUCCCUGAUGUUAGCGGCGGACGGGUGAGUAACACGUGGGUAACCUGCCUGUAAGACUGGGAUAACUCCGGGAAACCGGGGCUAAUACCGGAUGGUUGUCUGAACCGCAUGGUUCAGACAUAAAAGGUGGCUUCGGCUACCACUUACAGAUGGACCCGCGGCGCAUUAGCUAGUUGGUGAGGUAACGGCUCACCAAGGCGACGAUGCGUAGCCGACCUGAGAGGGUGAUCGGCCACACUGGGACUGAGACACGGCCCAGACUCCUACGGGAGGCAGCAGUAGGGAAUCUUCCGCAAUGGACGAAAGUCUGACGGAGCAACGCCGCGUGAGUGAUGAAGGUUUUCGGAUCGUAAAGCUCUGUUGUUAGGGAAGAACAAGUGCCGUUCAAAUAGGGCGGCACCUUGACGGUACCUAACCAGAAAGCCACGGCUAACUACGUGCCAGCAGCCGCGGUAAUACGUAGGUGGCAAGCGUUGUCCGGAAUUAUUGGGCGUAAAGGGCUCGCAGGCGGUUUCUUAAGUCUGAUGUGAAAGCCCCCGGCUCAACCGGGGAGGGUCAUUGGAAACUGGGGAACUUGAGUGCAGAAGAGGAGAGUGGAAUUCCACGUGUAGCGGUGAAAUGCGUAGAGAUGUGGAGGAACACCAGUGGCGAAGGCGACUCUCUGGUCUGUAACUGACGCUGAGGAGCGAAAGCGUGGGGAGCGAACAGGAUUAGAUACCCUGGUAGUCCACGCCGUAAACGAUGAGUGCUAAGUGUUAGGGGGUUUCCGCCCCUUAGUGCUGCAGCUAACGCAUUAAGCACUCCGCCUGGGGAGUACGGUCGCAAGACUGAAACUCAAAGGAAUUGACGGGGG
rnacentral:rRNA from 1 species